CUUCCCUCGGCAGCAUGUAGGUCAGUUGACUGGCUUGUGUAUGGGCACUGUCACAACACUGGCCUAUUAUGCUAAGUGCGAUUCCACCAUGUUGAAAACUACAAAUGUUACACAUAAACCUGGCAGUGCAUGGUGUUUUCUCACAUUGUCGGGGCAUGUCUUCAGUCUGUGUCCAAACUUACCAUCCUGUGACAGACAGAAGGACACUAAUAUUGAGUCCCAUUGUCCACUACGCCUAGCAAAAAUGUAUCUUACCACAUUUCCAAACAUGCAAUUAUGAAAUGUAAGCAGGUAUUUUGAUUACAUAAUAUAAAUUAUAGUAAUGAAUGUUUAGUACACAAUAACAGGAGUUACAAACUGUCAUAAAGCCGAUGUACAGUGCAGUCCAGAAUUAUUUGGACAGUGACAUGCGUUUUGUUUUGGCUCUAUAUUCCAGCACAAUGGAUUUGAAAUGAAACAAUGAUUAAGAUGUUAAACUGCAGACUGUCAGCCUUAAUGUCAGGGUAUGUACAACCAUAAAUUGUGAACAUUUAGGAAUUAAAGCCCCCCCAUUGUGAUGGACCAAAACUCAUUUCUUGAAGUUAUCAUAUUUACUACAAAAAUACAAAACAAAUGUGUGAUCUGUGAUGUUCUGGAAUGUGAUCUACUUACUUUUAGAGAUCAAUUUGUGAAAAGCUGGUUUAUCCUACAGCUGUCGAACCUCAAACGGUGCUCCUGGCCUGCUCCAUCACUGUGUGAUCACAUCAUCAUAGCUUUGAAUGAUGGAAUAAGAGAGAAAACAGACAGAUAUGAUUUGGAAUUGGAAUCAACUUUAAUUGCUCACUAAAUGAACACAAUGGUCAUUUAACUUGGUGUAAUUACAGAGUGAGAGAACAGACAAGGAAGGAGUUAAAGUGAUGGUGCGGCGGAGAGUGCUGCACUGACAGAAUGUUUGUGUUGAAUAUGCUGUUAGUGCUCUGCUCCUUCCUUAAUCCCUGUGUUUAUAGCUCAGCCCUCUGUAAACCCUCCCCCACCAUGCUAUCACUGUGUAUUAUCACUUUGACAUUUGGUUUAUCUAAUGACGUGGUACUGCCCAGCUAGGUCUGGCUGUGAACAUGUUGAAUAGGAAGCUUCCAGAACUACGCUCAUUUCUUGAAAUGUGACUUUGUGUCUUUAUAAUGGCAACCAAUGUCGUUUCUUUACUCUGACCAGAGCCCAACAGCAGAAAAAUAAAACACAAAAUAAUUAUGAGAAUAACAAUGGAAUUUUUUUA
ensembl:lncRNA